rnacentral:rRNA from 1 species
GAUGAACGCUGGCGGCGUGCCUAAUACAUGCAAGUCGAGCGAAUGACGAGGAGCUUGCUCCUCUGAUUUAGCGGCGGACGGGUGAGUAACACGUGGGUAACCUGCCUGUAAGACGGGGAUAACUCCGGGAAACCGGAGCUAAUACCGGAUGAUAACGAGAAGCGCCUGCUUCUUUUUUGAACGUCGGUUUCGGCUGACGCUUACAGAUGUGCCCGCGUCGCAUUAGCUCGUUGGUGAGGUAACGGCACACCAAGGCGACGAGGCGGGGCGGUGCUGGGAGGGUUGUCGGCCACACUGGGACUGAGACACGGGCCAGACUCCUACGGGAGGCAGCAGUAGGGAAUCUUCGGCAAUGGACGAAAGUCUGCCCGAGCAACGCCGCGUGAGCGAUGAAGGCCUUCGGGUCGUAAAGCUCUGUUGUCAGAGAAGAACAAGUACCGGAGUAACUGCCGGUACCUUGACGGUACCUGACGAGAAAGCCACGGCUAACUACGUGCCAGCCGCCGCCGUAACAC